rnacentral:rRNA from 1 species
GGGGGCUAGCGUUGUUCGGAUUUACUGGGCGUAAAGCGCACGUAGGCGGAUCGUUAAGUCGGGGGUGAAAUCCUGGAGCUCAACUCCAGAACUGCCUUCGAUACUGUCUGGCUUGAGACCGGAAGAGGUAAGUGGAACUGCGAGUGUAGAGGUGAAAUUCGUAGAUAUUCGCAAGAACACCAGUGGCGAAGGCGGCUUACUGGUCCGGUUCUGACGCUGAGGCGCGAAAGCGUGGGGAGCAAACAGG